AAAUAAACCCAAUCUGUUUCUUAAAACGAGGACAUAUUCAUACGGCACAGAAUGGUUUUUACCUCAACAGACGUCAGUAAUUGGUUGAAAUUGCAGAAAUUGAAGAAAAAAACAACAAAUAUCUUACAAACUAUAGAAUUUUUUUCAAUAAAGCCAAGAGAAAAAGAUGUUUUAUAAACACAUUCUACCAGUAUACGAAGUUUUUAAAAUUUUUUAGUUAUGUAGAAAAUUAAAAAUGUUCAAACCGAAAAAUCCAAAGUGUGUGUGUGUGUGUGUGAGUGUGUGUGUGUGUGUGUUUAAUUGUGUGUGUGUGUGUGUGUGUGUAUGUGUGUGCUUGUGUGUCUGUGUGUGUUUACAUGUUACAUAUAUAUAACACAAACACAAUAGAUACACACCUAUACACAGAUAUACAAAUAUACAACAAACGUACAUAUCUCUUUUCCUUGUUUGAAUCAUUGGACUGCGGCCAUGCUGGGGUACUUGCCUUGAAGGGGUUUUAAUUGAAGAAAUCGACAUGGGUACGUACUUUUUUAAAGUUUGGUACUUUAUUAUAUCGGUCCGCUUUUGUCGAACCACAAAUUUACGAGAAGCUAGGGGUGGAGAGAACUAACGCAGAUAGACACACAUACAUGCACACAGGUACAUACAUACGUACGUGUACGUAUAUAUGUAUGUAUGUAUGUAUGUAUGUAUGUAUGUAUGUAUGUAUGUAUGUAUGUAUGUAUGUAUGUGUGUGUGUCCGUGUGUGUGUGUGUGAGUGAGUGUGUGUGUGAGUGUGUGUGUGUGUGUGUGUGUGUGUGUGUGUGUGUAUACGGGUGGAUUCCACACAGUUUCUGUCAACCAAAUUCAUAAAGCAUUGGCCGGUCCUGAGAGGUUAAAAGUGGAAAACCUGUGCCCCGGUUGGUGCGAGCAAGGAGGCGAGAGAGAGAGCGGGAGAGAGAGAGAGAGAGAGAGAGAGAGAGAGAGAAAGAGAAAGAGAGAAAGAAAGAAAGAAAGAAAGGGACAGAGAGGGAGACAGAGGAGAAAGAGAAAGAGGGGGAAAGUUUGAGGGGGUCCUUUUGGGUGAAAUUUGUCACGAACCUAGUAUCGAUCACACUAUACGAUAGAAUCAAACCCGGGAUCUAUUUGACUGGCGAAUUUAAAGCGCUUGGCUACGCCCUAAUGGACGAACGCAGUAACGGACGAAAGUUUUGUAACAUUGCGCAUCAAGGAUGAGAUAAUCUCUCUCUGAAACUCUCUAUUUUUCUCCUUAUCUUUCUUUCUUUCUAUCACACCUUCUCUCUCUCACCCUCUCACACUCUUGUUCUUUUUUUUUUUGCCUUACAUUUCACACUUCCCUGAAUGCGUAAUACAAAGUAUUUGUGUGUGUGUAUGUGUGUGUUUGUGUAUGUGAGGGUGUGUGUGAGAAAGAGAGAGAAGGAGAGUGUGUGUAUGUGUGUCUGUGUGUGAGUGUGUGUAUGCACCAAAGGGGGGGGGAGGAGAUCAUCUCACACACCACCACCCCCCAACACUCAUUCCAGGAAACUUAGCAGCAUAAGAGAGCAAACAGUAAGUCGUUUAAAGAGUUGUGGAAAAAAAAUAACAAACACACACACACAUACACACAGAGGCACAUACACACACACACACACACACACACACAGAAGCACAUACACACACGCACACACACAUACACACACCUAGACGGGCAGAGAUACACAGAUUAUAGAGACAAAGAUAAUAUCUACAUACAUAUAUAGAUACAUAUACAUACAUAUCUAAAUACAUAUACAUCUCUUUCUUCAUAUCACACCACCUUCUCUCUGUAACUCUCUAUUUUUCUCUCGUAUAUCUCUUUCUUUCUAUCACACCACCUUCUCUCUGUAACUCUCUCUUUUUAUCUCUCCUUAUAUCUCUUUCUUUCUAUCACACAAUUAUAGAUCUGCACACACACACAUUCACAAAUGCACAUUCACAAGUGUGUGUGUGUGUUUGUGUAUGUGAGGUUGUGUGUGUGAGAAAGAGAGAGAAGGAGAGUGUGUGUAUGUGUGUGCUGUGUGUCUGUGUGUGAGUGUGUGUGUAUGCACCAAAGGUGCAUAAACAUUUCUUCAUGUUAGCAUCCUUGUUACCUUAGUCCAAAAUGUUUUGUACAUAUAUACAUAACAGAUACAUAACAUGAAUAUAAACACACACACACAUAUAUAUAUACAUACACACACACACAUACAUAUACACGCACACACACACACACAGACGGGCAGAGAUACACAGAUUAUAGAGACAAAGAUAAUAUCUACAUACAUAUAUAGAUACAUAUACAUACAUAUCUAUAUACAUACAUAUACAUACAUAUCUAUAUACAUACAUAUAUAUACAUAUCUAUAUACAUACAUCUGUAUACGUACAUAUAUAGAUACAUUUAUAUUAUACAUAUGUAUAUGAAUAUGGUACAUAUCUCUAUAAAACAUGUACAUCUUAUAUAUAUGUUAUACACUAUUAUAAUAUUUAUACAUACAGCGAAAGCGAUUAUAGGAUCUACACACACAUUCACAAAUGCGUAUAAGUGUGUGUGUGUCGGUUGUGUACGUAUGUGUGUUAAUGUAUGUUUGUAUACGUCAGCUUAUAUACCCAUGCAUAAACAUUUCUUCAUGUUAGCAUCCUUGUUACCUUUGUAUAUAUAUAUAUAUAUAUAUAUAUAUAUAGAGAGAGAGAGAGAGAGAGAGAGAGAGAGACAAACACAAGGUACAUAUACAGUGUAUAUGUGGUGGGUGAAUACACACAGUAUAUAUGUAUGCAUGUAUGUAUAUAAUAUAUAUAUAUAUAUAUAUAUAUAUAUAUAUAUAUAUGUAUAAUAUAAAGAUAUAAAUUAUAUACUUUGAUACUUUGAUAUAUGUAUAAUAUAAAGAUAUAAAUUAUAUAUAUAUAUAUAUAUAUAAUAUAAAGAUAUAAAUUAUAUGUAUAUAUAUAUGUAUAAUAUAAAGAUAUAAAUUAUAUAUAUAUAUAUAUAUAAUAUAUAUAUAUAUAUAUAUAUAUAUAUAUAUAUAUAUAUAUAUAAAUUAUAUAUAUGAAUAUAAUUAUAUAUAUAUAUAUAUAUAUAUAUAAGGUAUAUGCGUGCACGUUUUCUUAUGGUAAUAUUUUGCAACUCACUCGCAUGUUUAUCUUUCUAUUCUUCUCUUCUAGCUUGUUUUGAUUCCUUCAUUCGUGUUCUUUUUUUCUUCUUCUUGAAGAAAGCAGCAAGGAAGGAGUUUGGGUCGUGUUUCAAUGAUUGUUUUAAAAUCAUUUUUGGUUUCUUGUUAGUUUUAAAAAGUUCGUUUCCUUUGCAAAAAUUCGUUGGUUUAUUUGCGUGGGAAUAGGCUGUGUGGCUUGGUGGGCGCGGAGGAUUGGUAGGUAGGUAGGUAGGUAGGUAGGUAGGUAGGUUCGGUUUGUUUUUGUUUUCGUUUGUGAAUGAUACGAAAUAGAUUUGUAGAACACGAAAAGGAAGAAUGAGAGAUGGAAAGAACGAAAGAAUAGAUGCGAUAGAUAGGUAGAUGGAUAGAUAGGUAGGUAGAUAGAUAGAUAGGUAGAUAGAUAGAUAGAUAGAUAGAUAGAUAGAUAGAUAGAUAGAUAGAUAGAUAGAUAGAUAGAUAGAUAGAUAGAUAGAUAGAUAGAUAGAUAAGUAGAUAGAUAGAUAGAUAGAUAGAUAGAUAGAUAGAUAGAUAGAUAGAUAGAUAGAUAGAUAAGUAGAUAGAAAGAUAGAUAGAUAGGUAGAUAGAUAACAUGCACAUACAUAUAUAUGCAUAUGUACUAUAUAUAUAUAUAUAUAUAUAUAUAUAUAUAUACAUGUAUGUAUGCAUGUUAUACAUACAUAUUUCAACGUAUAUAAAAUAUAUUACAUAUGUAUGUAUGUAUAUAUGUGCGUGUAUGUAUCUGUAUGUGAGUGUAUGUAUGUGUAACAGAGAAAGCGAUUAAGGUUUGUUUAGGUCGGACAAAUAAAAAAAAGAAAGAAUUAGAGAGAGAGAGAGAGAGAGAGAGAGAGAGAAAGAACAAGUGAUAUAUAAUAACAGAAAGUGAGGGGGGGAGGAGCGGGGCGGGGAGGAAAGGAGAGGAGAAAAAGAUUUCAUAGCGAUUAUAAAAUACGAUUGAUAUAAGCCUGGUGGCGGUGCUGUUGUUGUUGUUGUUGUUCUUGUUGUUGUUGCUGCUGUUGCUGUUCCAGUUCUCGUUCGUUGUUAACGUUUUGUUUUUGCUUUCGUCUUUACCGUUUCUUUUUUUUUUUCCUGUUUUUUUUUUUUUCUUUUUUCUUUUUUCUUUUUCUUUUCUUAUCCCAUCAGAAGAGAAGAAUUGUUGACCAACCAACCAACAAACCCAACCAACCACUGCUUCUUUGCUGUUGCUUUUCGAUGAAACUCUAGUAGUAGUAGUAAUAGUAGUAGUAGUAGUAGUAGUAGUAGUAGUAGCAGUUGUUGUUGUUGAUAUUGUUGUUGAUGUGUUGUUUUUCUUUUAAACCCGAGGUUAGUUAGCCCGAUCCAGUUAAAAGCCUAAUUUAUCCAACGCUUUCAUUUUACGGCCGUGACAACUCCAUCGGUUUUUUCUUUUUCUUCUUCUUCUUCUUCUUCUUACCUACCUACCUACAGUUGCACAUUUUCUGAAAUGCAUCGCCUUUUUUUUUUUUUCCUCCUCCAAAAUUUUUACGGUGUAAAUUCAAGGUAAUUUGACAGCCAUUUCUAGCAGGUCGAGCGGCUGGGUAAUUUCACAUAAGUCCCGUCGUCGUCGUCGUCGUCGUGGUCAUCGUCGUCAUAGUAGCAGCAACAGUAGUAGUAGUAGUAGUAGUAGUAGUAGUAGUAGUAGUAGUAGUAGUAGUAGUAGUAGUAGUGGUGGUGGUGGUAGUAGUCGUUGUUGUUGUUGUUGUUGUUGUUCGGUGGUGUUGUGGUAAGAUAAAGCGACAUUACUGUUUCAAUCUUUGGUCUUACAAGUCAGUCGCCGAAAGGGAUAUAUAUUGCAUUGCGCACAAACAUACACACACACACACAUACAUAUAUAUAAACACAUGACGCAAACACAGAUGUGCACACACGCAUACACGCGCUCGCGCGCUCCCACUCCCACUCUCAUCAGAUAACGCAUACACACACACAAACAUAGCUAGCUACUUAACACGUAUAAUCGUACAGAUAACAUCACAUAUACACGCACACACACACACGUACGCAUAUAACAAGUCAUAACACUUAAUACAGGUCCCUGCACACACACACUACAAACAAUGACACAUCGACACUGAUACACGUAUGUGCAUACAUACAUACAUACAUACAUACACACACACAGAUAUAAAGACACAAUUGAUACUGAUUCACAUGCAAAGACACACACACACACACACUGAUUCACAUGCAAAGACACACACACACACACACUGAUUCACAUGCAAAACACACACACACACACACACACACACACUGAUUCACAUGCAAAGACACACACACACACACACACAUACGCGCGCGAACACACGCUCAGAAAUCAGUAGGUUUGUCGUUCAGACACCGAUGUUGAGAAAGAGUAAUAGAGAGAGAGAGUUAGAGAACGAGAGAGCGAGAGCAUGUGUGUGUGUGUGCGUAAGUGCCUCUGUGAGUGUCUGUGUGUGUGUGUUUCAAUGUGUAUGUGUUUCAGUGUAUGUGUUUCAUCUGUGUGUGUGUGUGCAGCAUGUUAAAUUCAGCCGGCAGAAAUAACUAAAACUUAUAUAUACAAUAUUCAUACAUACAGUUUAAGCUUUGUAUAGAUCCAUAUCUCAUUCCCACUGUCUCUAUCACAUUUUCCCCUCUAUCUAGAUAUUUGUGUGUGUGUGUAUUUAUAUUUGUAAGUAAGUGUAAAUAUAUAUUAUAUAGAUAGAGAUAUAUAUAUUUAAAGACAUACACAUACACAUAUCUAUGUAUAUGUGUGUAUGUGUGUGUGUGCGUGUGGUAUGAAUGAUUGAUAGUUAUCUUUCGUCCCUGCUCUUUCUUUUCUUUCUCUCUCCCAGUCAGCCAGUCUCUAUAUUUCUUCCAUUUCCUCUCUCUCCUUCUCUGUCUUUCUCACACACUCUCUCUCUCUCUCUCUCACUUUCUCAGUCACUGUCUGGUUGUAUCUCUCUCUCUCUCUAUUUCUACCUCUCUCCCACCUUUUUCCCUUUCAUUUUUUCUCACUUCCUGUCUGCCCGCCUCUGCUCUCUCUCUCUCACACAUAUACAGACACACACGCACGCACACACACACACAUACACACUGCCUCUCUCUCUUUCUCUCCCGUUCUUUCUUUCUCUUUCUCCAUUUAUCACUUUUCCUUUCCACUUCCUUUCUCUCCUAGUCUGUCACCUCCAUCUCUCUCUCUCUCUUCUCCCUCUUAUUUCUCUCUUUACUGCAUGAUGAUAUUAAUAAUGAUGAUGGUGGUGAUGAUGAUAAUGGCGAUGAGGAAGAGGUGGAUGGUGAUGAUGAUGAUGAUAAAGACCAUGCUACGAACCCACUCCUACCUCCAUUUCUUCAACACCAGUCCAUCUCAAACACGGAGGGAAUGUAUUUUUUAUGUUGUCAUUCAAACCUGCUAGAAAUAGCAGCUCUCUCACUCUCGUCAAUCAUUAACAUCUUAAAAUACGAAGGAUCCAGCUGUAUUAGUUCACCACUGUCAUCAUCACCAUCAUCAAUAUCAUCAUCAUCAUCAUCAACAAGCAUUAUGAUGAGACGAGUACACUUGAUGGGGUGGGGGUGGACAAAAACGUGGCACGAGAGGAAAAAAAGAGGUGAAGCGCAGACUUAAGAAGUUUGCUUCGCAACCACAUAGCUUCAGGUUCGUCCCUACAGUACGGCAUAUUGAGCAAGUGUCUUCUAUUAUAACACCGGGCUUGAUUGAAUUUGGAAGAGGAGAAACUGUAUCAAAAGCCUAUCUUGUAUGUGUGUGUGUGUGAGGGGUCUUUGUCUCCCACACCCACUUGAAAACAUGUGUUGGUUUGUUUACGUCCCGUAACAUAGUGGUUCGCCAAAAGUGACCGAUACAAUAAAUAUCAGAUUUUAAAAGAAAAACAAGUAGGCGCAGUAGGCUGUGUGGUAAGUAGCUUGUUUACCAAUCACAUGGUUCCGGGUUCAGUCCCACUAUAGCCUCGGGCCGACCAAAGUGAGUGGAUUUGGUAGACGGAAACUGAAAGAAGCCCGUCGUAUAUAUGUAUAUAUAUAUAUAUAUAUAUAUAUAUAUAUAUAUAUAUAUAUAUAUAUAUAUAUAUAUAUGUAUGUAUGUGUGUGUGUUUGUGUCUCUCUAUAGCAUUGCUUGACAACCGAUGCUGGUGUGUUUAUGUCCCCGUUACUUAGCGGUUCGGCAAAAGAGACCGAUAGAAUAAGUACUGGGCUUACAAUAGAAUAAGUCCCGGGGUCGAGUUGCUCGAUUAAAAGGCGGUGCUCCAGCAUGGCCGCAGUCAAAUGACUGAAACAAGUAAAAGAGUAAAAAGACAGUGGGGUAGAUUUGUUCGAUUAAACUCUUGAAGGUGAUGCUCCAACAUGGGCGCAGUCUCAUGACUAAAACGUGUGUGCGCGCGCACUGGUUUUGUUUAUAUUUCGAUUGCCUUUGUACAUAGAUCUUAAUGUUGACUGACCUGGGUUUAAACAAUUACAAGAACGACAGGCGGUAGAAAGCUUGAUGUGAGACCGUUCAAUUCACUAGAAAUAGCAGCUAGUCAAUCACUCACAGUGAUUCUCAUUUGCUAAAAAAAAGAAAUACAGAAUGGAAGGAUACCUUGCAAAAAUGAACUAGAUACAUUUCGUUAUUUGUUUUAUGAAGCACUGCUCUGCGGCCAUGCUGUUGCACAUUUAUGACACGAAAAAAAAUUUAAGACGUAGUGGUCAUAAACGAAUUUUUGGUUUAAACAACAACGACGACGAAAGCGUUCAUCAUUAUCACCAACACCACCAACGUCAUCAACAUCACCAUCAUCAUUAUCGUCAUCAACAACAUCGUCGUCAGGUGGUUGGGGUUGACGGAGGCAAAAGGAAGUGAGGGGACAGAAGGAAUUUGACAGGAAGCUGAAAUGCGUGCAUCUGUAUAUUGGGUAUAUAAGUCUGGAUAUCAGACGAUUAAAAAAUUUGAAAAUAUGUAAUAUACAUGUAAGCAUGCAUGUGCGCAUGAAAACACAUAUAUACAUGUGUGUGUAUAUAUAUACAUAUAUAAAUAUAUAUAUAUAUAUAUAUAUAUAUAUAUAUAUAUAUAUAUAUAUAUAUAUGUAUAUAUAUAUCAUAUAUAUAUAUAUAAUAUAGUAUAUUAUAGAUUUUAUUUAUAUGUAUAUAUUUUUAUAUAUAUAAAUAUAAUAAUAUAUGUAUAUUUUAUAUAUAUAUAUAUAAUAUAAUAUAUAUAUAAUAUAAUAUAUAUAUAUUAUAUAUAAUAUAUAUAUAUUAUAUAUAUAUAUAUGUACAUAUAUAUAUGUGUAUGUAUGUAUGUAUGUAUAUAUAUAUAUAUAUAUAUAUAUAUAUAUAUAUAUUAUAUAUAAUAUAUAUAUUAUAUAUAAUAUAUAUAUAUUAUAUAUAUAUAUGUACAUAUAUAUAUGUGUAUGUAUGUAUGUAUAUAUAUAUAUUAUAUAUAUAUAUUAUAUAUAUAUAUUAUGUAUAUAUAUAUAUUAUAUAUAUAUUAUGUAUAUAUAUAUUAUAUAUAUAUAUUAUGUAUAUAUAUAUAUAUUAUAUAUAUAUUAUGUAUAUAUAUAUAUUAUAUAUAUAUAUUAUGUAUAUAUAUAUGUACAUAUAUAUGUGUAUGUAUAUAUAUAUAUAUAUAUAUAUAUAUCUAUAUAUAUUCAUUUACUUGCUUCACUGAUUUGACUGUAGCAUGAGAUUUAUUAAGUCGAAGAAAUCGACCCCAGAACCUGUUCUUUGUAAGCAUGGUACUUAUUGUAUCGGAAUCUUUUACCGAACCCUUAAGUUCCACCAAAUGAUGUCAAUGGUCAUCUUCGAACCCGAAGGUCGAACAUUAUUAUUAAGUUAUGGCGAUGUAAACACACCAAGAUUGGUUGUCAAACGAUGAUGGGGUAACAAAUACAGAUACAAAGAUACACAUAAAUAUAUAUAUAUAUAUAUAUAUAUAUAUAUAUAUAUAUAUAUAUAUAUAUAUUAAAUAAUAAGAGUAGAAAUUGAUAUUAAUCAAUUAAUACCAGUGGCUUAGCAUAUUUUAAAAAUUUUGUAUAUAUAUAUAUAUAUAUAUAUAUAUAUAUAUAUACAUACUAUGGGUAUCUUUCAGUUUCCGACUUCCAAACCUACUCACAAGGCUUUGGUAGCCGUUCAAGAAUUUGGGCCUGGAGAUAGCCAUUUCCAGCGACUUCGAGGGCCACCACCCAGUGGUGUCGGGCGUCAACGAAGAGCCCUCGACUAUAGCAAGACGACCAAAGUUCUUGUUUUUUUUCCAAGGUCUGGGGUCUCCUGCCCCUAAGCCCUAGACCAUCACCUAAUCACCCUUACCUGUUCUGUUCCUUACCCUUACCUGUUUUGUGUGUGUGUGUGUGAAAUGAGCCAAGAAAAAGUUAACUAAGAAUGACCAGCGAUACGUAUACAGGUAUAUCUAAUACCAUACAACAUAAAUUAUUAAAAUUAUGUCUACAAGAUGUAUCCCAUUAACCAAUUGUCAACAGAGACCAACGCUACAUAAGAAUGAGAGAUAAUCACAAGAAUCAAGGAUUCUCCAAAUUUGACAUGGCGUUAAGGAAAAGGAAGUCUUGAUUCCUAAGUUCAUCUUUCCCCACUCUUUUAUCUGGAGACUGUCCCCAUUUCCGUUUGGUAAUUGUGGCACAUCAGCCAGAGGCGGGGUUAAUUUUAGCAAACCAAGAAUUUUGUUGUAUAGUAUUUGACAUUGGUUACAUCGAGUUCGAGUUACUUCUCAUGAUUCAUUUUUGUUCAAUUUGUGUAAACUACCCAGUCCAUAAUUGUGUUCGGCUCUUUUUUGUAUGUCUAACUCCUGACAUGCAUAAGAUCUGGUCAUCAAAUCUAAGUAGAGACUUCAAACUUGAAAUCUUCAAAGCCACAGUCGAACCAAUUCUACUAUAUGG
rnacentral:lncRNA from 1 species